rnacentral:rRNA from 1 species
AGAGUUUGAUCAUGGCUCAGAGUGAACGCUGGCGGUAGGCCUAACACAUGCAAGUCGAACGGCAGCACAGGAGAGCUUGCUCUCUGGGUGGCGAGUGGCGGACGGGUGAGGAAUACAUCGGAAUCUACCUUGUCGUGGGGGAUAACGUAGGGAAACUUACGCUAAUACCGCAUACGACCUACGGGUGAAAGUGGGGGACCGCAAGGCCUCACGCGAUUAGAUGAGCCGAUGUCGGAUUAGCUAGUUGGCGGGGUAAAAGCCCACCAAGGCGACGAUCCGUAGCUGGUCUGAGAGGAUGAUCAGCCACACUGGAACUGAGACACGGUCCAGACUCCUACGGGAGGCAGCAGUGGGGAAUAUUGGACAAUGGGCGCAAGCCUGAUCCAGCCAUACCGCGUGGGUGAAGAAGGCCUUCGGGUUGUAAAGCCCUUUUGUUGGGAAAGAAAUCUUGCCGGUUAAUACCUGGCGAGGAUGACGGUACCCAAAGAAUAAGCACCGGCUAACUUCGUGCCAGCAGCCGCGGUAAUACGAAGGGUGCAAGCGUUACUCGGAAUUACUGGGCGUAAAGCGUGCGUAGGUGGUGGUUUAAGUCUGCUGUGAAAGCCCUGGGCUCAACCUGGGAAUUGCAGUGGAUACUGGCGCACUAGAGUGUGGUAGAGGGAUGCGAAUUUCCGGUGUAGCAGUGAAAUGCGUAGAGAUCGGAAGGAACAUCCGUGGCGAAGCGGCAUCCUGGGCCAACACUGACACUGAGGCACGAAAGCGUGGGGAGCAAACAGGAUUAGAUUACCCUGGUAGUCCACGCCCUAAACGAUGCGAACUGGAUGUUGGGUGCAACUUGCACCCCACGUAUCAAAGCUAACGCGUUAAUUCGCCGCCUGGGGAAGUACGGUCGCAAGACUGAAACUCAAAGGAAUUGACGGGGCCCGCACAAACGGUGGAGUAAUGUGGUUUAAUCAUGCAACGCGAAGAACCUUAC